rnacentral:rRNA from 1 species
CACGUAGGGGACGAGCGUUGUCCGGAUUCAUUGGGCGUAAAGCGCGCGUAGGCGGCUCGGAAAGUCGGGCGUGAAAUGCCGGGGCUCAACCCCGGGACUGCGUCCGAUACUUCCAAGCUGGAGUACGGUAGGGGCAGAGGGAAUUUCCGGUGGAGCGGUGAAAUGCGUAGAGAUCGGAAAGAACACCAACGACGAAAGCACUCUGCUGGGCCGACACUGACACUGAGAGACGAAAGCUAGGGGAGCGAAUGGG